UAUCAACAGUUUGGGUUGAACUUGAACUUGACUUACUUAACAAUGUUAAAUGCUAAAAAUAGUUAACAUCAAUGUUAUCCACAGCACGAGUUUUUUAAAGGGCGGGAAAAAAUAUCGCGUACUAGUAAACUCAGGUGACCUUUCUGGCCGACCGUGGGAAAGUCCAUUCAAGGUUUCUAAAGUUGCAGAACGACAUUUUUGUGCAAUCGUAUUGAGGCUCCAGAAGGUCCUUUUACAAUUGAUUUAUCGGGAAAAUAUAAUUCUUAUCCGAAUAAACGUGAACACAUUUUUAACUAUUUGAAUUUUAAUGUUUUAU
rnacentral:lncRNA from 1 species